GACCGCCGCGCCGCCGAGCUUCGCCGCACCCUCCAUUUUUGCUCUGCCACCGCGACGAGGACGCCGCCGCCGAGAUCCCGCGCCGCUGAGCUCUGGCGACCCGGCCACCGUGGCCCGCCGCGAGCUCCGCCGUGCGCACUCGCCGGGAGAGGAGAGAGGUUAGAAGGGGAGAUAGGGGAGAGAGAUUGGCUGACCAUAAAAGUAAAUAAAAUAAAUUAUUUUGUAGGGCCCACCUGAAGAGCUCGCACUGUGAAGUGUGUGG
rnacentral:lncRNA from 1 species